rnacentral:ncRNA from 1 species
GCAGGAACUUAGAAGUUCCUCUGUUUUGUUCAGCAUCAGCAAGAAUGGGACACGGAUGUUCCAUUCAGGUACAAUCGAGCCCGGAUGGCUCGUUGGACCGUUUGCGUCAUAUUGCAAUAACUUCUCCAAAACAGACAGAACUUCUUAGUUCCGUAG